GUGGGGGUAGUUUAAUAAAAACCUUAGAUUGUGAUUCUAAAAACAAGGGUUAAAAUCCCUUCCUCCACC
rnacentral:tRNA from 1 species